rnacentral:snRNA from 1 species
AUACUUGGCAUGAGAGAUACCAUGAUCAAGAAGGUGGUUUUCCCAGGCAAGGCUUAUCCAUUGCACUCAGGAUGUGCUGACCCCUGCAAUCUCCCCAAAUGUGGGAAACUCGACUUCAUAAUUUGUGGUAGUGGGGGACUGCGUUCAUGCUGUCCCCUU